rnacentral:rRNA from 1 species
GACGAACGCUGGCGGCGUGCUUAACACAUGCAAGUCGAACGGAAAGGCCCUGCUUUUGUGGGGUGCUCGAGUGGCGAACGGGUGAGUAACACGUGAGUAACCUGCCCUUGACUUUGGGAUAACUUCAGGAAACUGGGGCUAAUACCGGAUAGGAGCUCCUGCUGCAUGGUGGGGGUUGGAAAGUUUCGGCGGUUGGGGAUGGACUCGCGGCGUAUCAGCUUGUUGGUGGGGUAGUGGAUUACCAAGGCUUUGACGGGUAGCCGGCCUGAGAGGGUGACAGGCCACAUUGGGACUGAGAUACGGCACCGAUUCCUACGGGAGGCAGCAGUGGGGAAUCUUGCACAAUGGGCGGAAGCCUGAUGCAGCAACGCCGCGUGCGGGAUGACGGCCUUAGGGUUGUAAACCGCUUUCGCCUGUGACGAAGCGUGAGUGACGGUAAUGGGUACAGAAGCACCGGCUAACUACGUG